AACAUUUGGAAACAGAUGCUAAUACCGCAUAAAUCCAAGAACCGCAUGGUUCUUGGCUGAAAGAUGGCGUAAGCUAUCGCUUUUGGAUGGACCCGCGGCGUAUUAGCUAGUUGGUGAGGUAACGGCUCACCAAGGCAAUGAUACGUAGCCGAACUGAGAGGUUGAUCGGCCACAUUGGGACUGAGACACGGCCCAAACUCCUACGGGAGGCAGCAGUAGGGAAUCUUCCACAAUGGACGCAAGUCUGAUGGAGCAACGCCGCGUGAGUGAAGAAGGCUUUCGGGUCGUAAAACUCUGUUGUUGGAGAAGAAUGGUCGGCAGAGUAACUGUUGUCGGCGUGACGGUAUCCAACCAGAAAGCCACGGCUAACUACGUGCCAGCAGCCGCGGUAAUACGUAGGUGGCAAGCGUUAUCCGGAUUUAUUGGGCGUAAAGCGAGCGCAGGCGGUUUUUUAAGUCUGAUGUGAAAGCCCUCGGCUUAACCGAGGAAGUGCAUCGGAAACUGGGAAACUUGAGUGCAGAAGAGGACAGUGGAACUCCAUGUGUAGCGGUGAAAUGCGUAGAUAUAUGGAAGAACACCAGUGGCGAAGGCGGCUGUCUGGUCUGUAACUGACGCUGAGGCUCGAAAGCAUGGGUAGCGAACAGGAUUAGAUACCCUGGUAGUCCAUGCCGUAACGAUGAAUGCUAGGUGUUGGAGGGUUUCCGCCCUUCAGUGCCGCAGCUAACGCAUUAAGCAUUCCGCCUGGGGAGUACGACCGCAAGGUUGAAACUCAAAGGAAUUGACGGGGGCCCGCA
rnacentral:rRNA from 1 species